GCGCGCUAAAUUGAUGUGGACAAAAUUUUUAGAUACGGUAUACAUUGUGUUCCAAAGUUGGUGUCAUCUUUAUCAUACGAUCCGUCCUGACAUAGAAAUAUUAUUGGUUUACAAUGAAGCCACAUGAUAAAGUGUAAAUAUGUUCAGUUUUGGUUGAUGCGGUUUUGUUAAAACGACUAAGUUUGAUAUAUCGAAACUACUGAAAUUUGUUUACGAUUCAAUAUUUUGAAUAAAAAGAGGACAUGAUG
rnacentral:lncRNA from 1 species